rnacentral:rRNA from 1 species
CCCGCUGAAUUUAAGCAUAUAACUAGGCCGAGGAAAAGAAACUAACCAGGAUUCCCCCAGUAACGGCGAGUGAAGCGGGAGAAGCCCAUGCUGCCAACCGCUCCGGCGGGUUGUGCCAGGCGUGCCUGGUGAGGUCCCGGGGAGAAAUUCUUUGGAACAAGGUAUCAGAGAGGGUGACAAUCCCGUCUGUGCCUCGGGGUCCUCGCGUGAAGGCCGUCCUAGUGGAGUCGAGUUGCUUGGGAUUGCAGCUCAAAGUCGGUGGUAAAUUCCAUCGAAGGCUAAAUACGGGUGGGAGACCGAUAGCGAACAAGUACUGUGAAGGAAAGAUGAAAAGAACUUUGAAAAGAGAGUUAAAGAGUGCCUGAAAUUGCUGAGAGGGAACCGAAGGUGAUCAGUGGGGGCCGCUGCCAUUUUUCGUGUUCCGACCUCGGAGCACGCCCUGUGGCAGGGGCCCGCUCCGCGCCGUCGCGUCCGGCCGUAAGCUUGGGGCCGGGGGCGCCGGGGCGGAGGAAAUGGUCCUCUUUACCCCGUCUUGAAACACGGACC